GCAAACUUGGUCAUUUAGAGGAAGUAAAAGUCGUAACAAGGUUUCCGUAGGUGAACCUGCGGAAGGAUCAUUCACAAUAAGUGUUCAAUGGCACUUUUAAAAUCCAUUACCCACCUUGUGUGCAAUGUAAGGAGGAGGAUGUGUGUCAGACUUUUUUGCCUGGCCCCCCUCUUUCAUUAUACAUACCAAAUCUUCUCUUGUUGUCUACUUUUUGAGUAUAAAAAACUCGAAUACAACUUUCAACAACGGAUCUCUUGGCUCUCGCAUCGAUGAAGAACGCAGC
rnacentral:misc_RNA from 1 species